AGAGUUUGAUCAUGGCUCAGGACGAACGCUGGCGGCGUGCUUAACACAUGCAAGUCGAACGAUGAACCACUUCGGUGGGGAUUAGUGGCGAACGGGUGAGUAACACGUGGGCAAUCUGCCCUGCACUCUGGGACAAGCCCUGGAAACGGGGUCUAAUACCGGAUACUGAUCCUCGCGGGCAUCUGCGAGGUUCGAAAGCUCCGGCGGUGCAGGAUGAGCCCGCGGCCUAUCAGCUUGUUGGUGAGGUAAUGGCUCACCAAGGCGACGACGGGUAGCCGGCCUGAGAGGGCGACCGGCCACACUGGGACUGAGACACGGCCCAGACUCCUACGGGAGGCAGCAGUGGGGAAUAUUGCACAAUGGGCGAAAGCCUGAUGCAGCGACGCCGCGUGAGGGAUGACGGCCUUCGGGUUGUAAACCUCUUUCAGCAGGGAAGAAGCGAAAGUGACGGUACCUGCAGAAGAAGCGCCGGCUAACUACGUGCCAGCCGCCGCGGUAAUUC
rnacentral:rRNA from 1 species